CAGAGGUUGACGUGGCAGAGAAGGAGUGUGACACAGGCCAGUGGAGCGAGUGGAGCCAGCCUGUGUGCUUCCAGGCUCCCCAGAGACAAGGAACAGUAAGAGGACCUUGUGCAUGAAUAAUUUGUUUCCACACUACAGAGUGGGUAAUAAGCAGAUUAGUAAAAACAAUUCUGCUUCACUUCAAUAACAGCCUCCUCCAACUCAUUUUUUCUCAACAAACUUAUUUUUCCAGCAGAAGAAUCCCAGACUUCUUAGAGAACCCAGUGACUUUUUGCACCUUAAAUCUGUGAAAUCCUCAUGUUUUCUUCUGCCGUAUCCAUAGUUCAAACAAAGAUGAGGCAAAGCUAGAUGCAUUCCUGAAGGAACCCAAGAAAUUCCUCUCUUUAUUUCUCUGGAAUGAAAUGAAUUCUCUAGACCACCAGUUCUAACCUUCAAAAACCAAACCUGUUUGUGAGAUCUCCUUCAAAUACUACUGUAGACCCCAGUGUUUAUUCAUUAAAUUUUUAAAAUAUUUGUUUUAUUUGGAAUCCAUGUAUUUGUAAUUUUAGUGUUUGUAUUAAUACAAGGGAGAAAUGUUUAAA